rnacentral:misc_RNA from 1 species
GGCCCACUCACAUUGCUUCAUGCCUGGUCCUGCUGCACCGUCAACGUUGUCCCCGCCUCAGCGGGUCGCUGUGCUGCGCCCACGCGACCAGUUCGCCGAGGUGGGCCGCUGCCACAGCACGGGACGCACAAUUCGCCUCUGCUACAACACCUUCGGCGCGGCAAAGGACCCGUGCGUGCUACUCGUCAUGGGCCUCGCCUCCCCAGGGCUCUUCUGGGAUGAUCGUCUGUGCACGUUGCUUGCGCACUCCGGCCCGUACCACGUCAUCCGCUUCGACAACCGCGAUGUCGGCUGCAGCACCCACCUUGACGACUGCAAGGGUAGCGAUGGUGCGUUGCCGGUGGGACCGGCCAGCUACCUGCGCUACGCCUACGCGGCGCUGCGCCCCGGAACGCGGUCGAUCCGGGAGGUCUACACCCUUAAUGAUAUGGCAGCCGAUGCCUUUGGCUUGCUGGACGUGCUGCGCAUCCGCUUCGUUCACCUUGUCGGCUCGUCGGCGGGCGGCAUGAUUGCGCAGUGCAUGGUGCUGGCGCAUCCGGAGCGCGUUCUCUCGCUGACACUCAUGUCCACCCACUCGAGCUCUCCUCACGCGCAGUGGCCGGGGAUACGUGACAUCAUGAGCCUCAUCUCGCUCGUGCCCAAGUCGACGUCGGCCAGGUACGCAAGCCGCAUCGCACGGGCCACGAGCGCAGAGGAGCGGCAGCGGUUGUGCGCGGAGAGAGAUGCGGAGCGGGUGACUGCUUACGCGGCCAGCUUUACCAAACUGCUAGAAAAGAUGUCUGGUGACCGGGGCAAGUAUCCGUUUGAUCAUGUCGCAGCGCAACGGCAGAUGACGCGCAUCUUCAAGCGCAGCCUAUGCGUGACCGGCGGCCCGCGGCAGUUUCUGGCGCUGCUGAACGCGCCAUGCCGCGACGACGCGCUGCGGCAGCGCAUCACCAGUGUUGCACCGAUGUCGCAAAGCAAGGCGGGGGGCAACAAGAACAUCAGCAGGCAUGCAACCUCAGCGGUCACGACGCCUUUUUACGUGCCCACCAUCAUCAUCCAGGGCGACUGCGAUCCACUCGUGCCUGCCUCCAACGCGCGUCACCUAGCUUCCGUGAUAGCGGGUAGUCGCCUCUACGUGGUGGAGGGCAUGGGCCACACCUUGAUUCCCGCCUUGAGAGGCACAUACAUCCAAAUCAUACGCGAUAACGUGCGCGCUGGCGAAGCUGCGGCGCAGUCGUUAGGGCGUAAGGCUCAACAAACUGCCGCUGCUGCCGCUGAUGGCGGUUUGUCUGCCAAGAAGCAACCAGUGAAGGCCGCCUCCCGGCUGUAAGGGGCAAGGGUGGUGGGAGAAAUGGGUGCGCCAUCCGCUUGCAUGUGUUUAUAAGCCGCCUCCUUGCUCUCUGUCGGCAGCACAACGCUGCACUCCGUAUUUCCUUUUCCCAACCUGUAUGCUCCCUGUCGUUCCCCUCGUAGGUGGAGCACCUCUACUCG